rnacentral:rRNA from 1 species
CGGUAAUUCCAGCUCCAAUAGCGUAUAUUAAAGUUGUUGCAGUUAAAAAGCUCGUAGUCGAAUUUCGGAUUUGGCCUACUGGUCUACCUUAUGGUCAGUACUGGUUAGGCUGGAUCUUACCUUCUGGGGAACUAUCAUGCUCUUUAUUGAAUGUGAUUGGGAACCAGGACAUUUACUUUGAAAAAAUUAGAGUGUUUAAGGCAGGCUUAUGCUUGAAUACAUUAGCAUGGAAUAAUGAAAUAGGACUUUGGUUCUAUUUUGUUGGUUUCUAGGACCAAAGUAAUGAUCAAUAGGAACAGUUGGGGGCAUUAGUAUUGAGACGUUAGAGGUGAAAUUCUUGGAUCGUCUCAAGACUAACUACUGCGAAAGCAUUUGCCAAGGAUGUUUUCACUGAUCAAGAACGAAAGUUAGGGGAUCGAAGACGAUCAGAUACCGUCGUAGUCUUAACCAU